rnacentral:rRNA from 1 species
GAUGAACGCCGGCGGCGUGCCUAAUACAUGCAAGUCGAGCGAAUGGAUUAAGAGCUUGCUCUUAUGAAGUUAGCGGCGGACGGGUGAGUAACACGUGGGUAACCUGCCCAUAAGACUGGGAUAACUCCGGGAAACCGGGGCUAAUACCGGAUAACAUUUUGAACCGCACGGUUCGAAAUUGAAAGGCGGCUUCGGCUGUCACUUAUGGAUGGACCCGCGUCGCAUUAGCUAGUUGGUGAGGUAACGGCUCACCAAGGCAACGAGGCGUAGCCGACCUGAGAGGGUGAUCGGCCACACUGGGACGGAGACACGGCCCAGACUCAUACGGGAGGCAGCAGUAGGGAAUCUUCCGCAAUGGACGAAAGUCUGACGGAGCAACGCCGCGUGAGUGAUGAAGGCUUUCGGGUCGUAAAACUCUGUUGUUAGGGAAGAACAAGUGCUAGUUGAAUAAGCUGACACCUUGACGGUACCUGACCAGAAAGCCACGGCUAACUACGUGCCAGCAGCCGCCGCGG